AGCAAUUUGGCGCAGUGGAAGCGCGCCGGGCUCAUAACCCGGAGGGUAAGCCUAUCCUUCGAAUCCGGCUCUAGCGACGUCAACUAACUCAGUACCUCAGUCGCACGAUCGAAACGUGCAAUUGCUA